AUCUUCAGGGCAGGGUGAAAUUCCCGACCGGCGGUAAAGUCCGCGAGCGUCCUUGGACGCAGGAACCGGUGUGAUUCCGGUACCGACAGUAUAGUCUGGAUGGAAGAAGAA
rnacentral:ncRNA from 1 species